CUUUCUCUUCUUCGUCGUCGUUUUGUCUGAAAGAGAACGUUUUCUCUAUUGUUUUUUCUAUUCUUCGAUUUGUUCUUCUUCUCCGUCGCCGAUUUGAGCUCACGACGGAAGCUGCCUCCUUCACGUUGACUCGGACUUGAAUCUAUGUGUUUAUACUCAAUUUCUUCUGCCCCAAAUCGAAGACGACGGGUUUCUUUCUUCUGGUGCUUGGAUUUUGCAAUUUGUUUGUCGUCUUUGUUGGAUUCAUCAAGAUUUUGUAGUCUGUUAUAUUGGUGAAAAUGAUGCAGGAUUUUUCUACUCGAAUAAGGAACAGAGGGAAGCCAUGGUUACUGCUAAGAGACGUUCCGUUGAUGAAAGAAGAAGGUUUGUGCUGGUAAUGAUAACAGCUUUGUUAUCAUAAAUCAAAAGGGUAUUGAUCCCCCGUCAUUGGAUCUUCUUGCUCGAGAAAGGGGAGCUGGAGCUUUUGAAGUUGCAGCAAGACAACACUUAAUCAAUGAAGUCAAGAAAACCGUUCAACGGCGUGCUCAACUCGGUGUUGAAGCUUUUGCCAACGCCCUUCUCGUGGUGCCCAAGACACUCGCCGAAAAUGCUGGGCUUGACACUCAAGACGUUAUCAUUUCUCUAACGAUUUUUGGAUUACAAUGGCACAUCCAUUGUAUCUUGUGAGGUUGACUGCAACGACAAUACCAAUUGAUGGGGAAGGAAGAAGCAUUAUACAUAGUUAAAUCUUACAGUUUUCAUAUUGUUUAUGGAUUUGGGGUUAAUUUCAAUUGAGGGAUGAGGUGAACCGUAGCCACUAAGCUUUCUUAGCUGGAAUUAUAUAUCAUUUAAGUAUUUAGAGAAAAUAAUCAUUCUUUAUUUGACUUGAUCACAAAUAAAACUAAUAGAGUGAGAAAACGGCUCAAAUAUUCAAGUCUUAACCGUCCUUGUCCAGUGGUAUUCGAAUCUCUUUAAAUUUCUGAUCAGACUGGUACUGGAACUCUUUUUUCCCAUCCACAAUCUAGAUAUCCAAGUAAGCCCUUUCAUCUUGAUGCCUAAUGUUUUUCUAAAUUUUAGUUGUUGUCAUUUCACUGGAACAUAUCUAUUUGAUUAUUGAUUCCAUGUCUCAGUGAGAUAAUAAAAAGUUUAUUGUUAUUAUUCUAAAUAUCCUGUUUUUAAUGUAAGAAAUUUAAAUGGAAUUUAUUUUUAAAUCUA